CAUGUCCUUCUCCGGUUGACCACUUGACAUGUGAGAGCCUGAGGAGUUGUUCCCCCUCUGUCCAUGUUCGAGGACUUGCUCUCUGUCUGCCUCCACUCUCUGCCUUCACUGUACCAAAGUUUGUCUGUUGAGUCUCCUCUAGUCUGGUUGACCACUUGACAUGUGAGAGCCUGAGGAGUUGUUUUCCAGACACAGGUAGAGCUGGCAGGGGUGUCACCCUUGGCCUGCCCUUUUGGGCUGGGCUUCAGCUGCAGAUCUAAAGGCUGCUUCCAGGGGCAUGGGGCCCUCAGCCUUUGUUUUUCUUUGCUUCUGCACCUUACAACAUACAUCACACCUUAUUUUCACACAUCCAAACACUGUUAACACCACUGACGCGUAACAUAUUUUACACAUCCCACUACGUAGUUAGAGCUAUCUUGAUUUGGAGUUAAAUAAAUUUACUUUUGGCUUGA